UUGCCAUGCACUUCGAACCACUUCUUGAACUUCACUGCAAAAGAGCCACAAUUUUCUUCAAAAUGAAAAGGCUUGCAACCACUGCAGAAAGAAGCCUCAGAGAUUCUGGUUUCAAGAAAACAGCACAAGUCAAGAUUAUUAGAUUUUUUGCAUGGUUGCAAAAAGGUGGGCUUAGCUGCCCCCCUGCAGUUCCAUGACAAAAUCCUCAUUUCUAUCUUUUAACAACCCUCCCCCUUCAGACUCUUUUUAACAUUCAUAGCACUGUCGCCCUACUCCCCCCUACCCCCUGACUGACUACCUCCCUCACAUUGCCUUCCUUCACCCCCUUUUGAAACACUCUCCAGCCUCAACUGCACUCCUCCUAUAGUUAGCUUCCUUCGGCCGCUCAAUGCUUUCAUAAUGAGACGAUGAAGUAGCCAAAUACCUCAUUUUAGAUUCCUUAUUACCUUCGCUGGCCACCUCAUCUACCUUCCUUCCCUGAUUCGAUGAGCAUUCCUUCUCCUUCCCUUUAUUGCACUUCAUUUCUUUAUGCUCUGCAGUGCCCCCACUUGGGUGCUCUGGGUUUAAUGGUUCCUCCUCGAUCACCAACACUUCGACCGAGCGUGGAGACUCAGAUCCUCCUUUUCUGCCAAUCACCACAUUCUUUGAAGGGGACCGCUUCCUUUUCUCCUUCUGCACCUACUUUGAACUUGAAGGUUCUGUUACCAUAUCUCCUCUGCUGC
rnacentral:lncRNA from 1 species